CCCUUAGAUGUUCUGGGCAGCACGCGCGCUACAAUGGUCUUCGCAAACGGAUGCAUUCUCGAAGGAGAAUGCCAAUCUUGGAAUCUAUGCCUUGGUCGGGACAGUUGCUUGCAAUUUUUCGACUCGAACCAGGAAUUCCUUGUAAUCGUGAUUCAUCACAUCACGAUGAAUACGUCCCUGCCCUUUGUACACACCGCCCGUCGCUCCUACCGAUCGAAGAGUUAGGUGAAUUGUUUUGAUCGAUAAGAUUUGACUAUGGUCAACUCUCGUUGUGAAAUUCCGUGAAGCUGACUGUUUAGAGGAAGGAAAAGUCGUAACA
rnacentral:rRNA from 1 species